rnacentral:rRNA from 1 species
UACGUAGGGGCCUAGCGUUGUCCGGAAUUAUUGGGCGUAAAGAGCUCGUAGGCGGUUCGGCAAGUCGGAUGUGAAAUCUCCACGCUUAACGUGGAGGGGCCAUUCGAAACUGCUGUGACUCGAGUCCGGUAGGGGAGUGUGGAAUUCCCGGUGUAGCGGUGAAAUGCGCAGAUAUCGGGAAGAACACCCGUGGCGAAGGCGGCUACUCUGGGACGGUACUGGACGCUGAGACGCGAAAGCGUGGGGAGCGAACAGG